AUAGUGGAUCUUAGGGAAAAAUUUCCUAUGCCACUAAUUAAAAAUCCUAUUAUACAACACUGACAAGUGCGACCAUGUUUUCAUCAAAACAAUAUUACCAAUUCUUUUGGUUGCAAUGAAACACCGAAAACCUGGCUCGAGUACAUUUGAACAAUAACAUUGUCGGCUAUUUACAUACCUGUAAAAUUACAUACUCAUAUAUCAAGCUUUCAAAGUAUAAGUAUUUUUCAGGUCUGGACAGAUUCAAGCAACUGAAAGAAUAUUAUCCUUUUUAGUUAAAAUUAAAUAGCUUAAUCUUCUAUCAGAUUAACAUGGGCCUUAGGGUAUAGAAUAGACUUACAGUUGGAUAGUAAUUCGUGAAAACAGAGUAACCAGUGAUAAUCAAAUCCAUUACUGCAUCAAGGUACUUUUUUCACAUGAUCAUGCCAUAAAGGCAUUCCAGAUUUGCAGAAGAAAGGUAGGAAACUCCUACAAAGCAGCAAGCAAAACACCCAGAUUCAGAGCAGCUGGGAACAAUAAAUUCAGAAAUAGAUAAUUAGUAAACAUUGAGAUUGCACGUGUUCUAUUGCUACCUGCCUUCUCUUGUUAAGUAACUCAUUCAAAGACAGAUAGUAGCUCACUGAUUAGUAGGUGGUGGUGUUCUAGAUGCUCGUCUCUUCUCACCUUGGGCUCUCUGAAUAAGUGAUUAUGUAUUACCAAAUCCAAUGAUGGCUAGCUCCAUGAAGAUCACACCUGUACCACUGCAAGCAAGCAAGCCAGCUGUUAGAUCUAUUUGUCCAUAUAAGAUAGGAGUAGGAAUACAUGCAUAUCCUGCUAUAUGUCAUUCAAAAUUUCAUUUUUCGAAUAUGCUAGCCUGCUAAUUGCAUUGGGACAAAUUUGUAGAAGAAGCUAAUCAGGGCAUCUCCAAUGCAAGAGUGCUUGUUCGGCGCUUAGGCAAUAAAAAAUAAUAAUAACAGAAGUAGCAUCGAUCUAUCAGCCUGCUUAAGUGAGUUUCGUAGUGGAGUGUUCCUUGCAGUUCAGGAGCACACCACGGAUUCUUGGUCAUUCAAAUAAAGAUCUUUUUCUCACUUACUCUAUUAUAAUGUGAUUGCUAGAUCACGUACUAAAUGUGUGUUGAAAAGAGAACUUAUUUUGCAGUCAAAAUAAAAAAACACGAGUAAUCCAAACCAAACCAAGAGCUGAGGUGGUGACGAACACUCACCUCGACCUUGUCGAGCUUGCCCUUAUUCAGAACCUUGAAAAGGGUGAAUCCAGCGGGCGUCUCGAAUGACAUCAACAUCUCCAACCAAGCAGCAACUCAACUCACCUAGAUAAAAGCACACCACACAACGAAAUCAAAAUAAAGACCAAAAAUUGCAAAGACAUGAGAAAUGAUCAGCAUGGCAAUAUUGUUCAGCAGUCAAACAGUGCCAAAAUGAUACAUUGAGAAAUCUAUAUUGGCCUAUAACACAUGAAUAUUCCAAUGUUAGUCCUGGGACUGCAUCAACCACAAUACAAAAAACAUUGAAUAAAUUUGACACAUCUUGUCAGUGGAAUAAAUUUAGAACAUAUUGUACAAUAAAUUUGACACAUCUCGUCAGUGGAAUAAAAUUAGAAGUUAUUGUACACCUUUUGUUAGUUCUCUAGCACAUAUAUCUUGAGCAGAACUCUUAAUCUGAAUCAUUUGAGGCAAUUAUCAUUCUAUAUAACCAGCCUAAUUAAUCCCCCACGCAAAAAAAUCGUACUCUUAGCAACAAAAAAAGCAGAUAAUGGAAUAGGAAAAACACUAAAAUGUCUACUUCCAGAUUUUUUUGCGGGUUACUUCCAGAUUCAUGGGCGUGCAAGCACUAUGGAGUAAAAUUGAACAAGCUUUCGAUGAACAACAUACAGGGAGGCACCUCGCUACUGGUUGUUCCGGUUUUUUGACAAAUAGCGCGAUAGGGAGGCAUGGUGCUACUGAUAGGAUAUAACUAAUCAGGAGGCUAUAGAACAUUAAAUAGAGGCUACAUCAUCAGAUCAACAAAAGCUUCAACAACAGGACACACUGGUAGUUGUAGAGGACUAUCAUCGAUAGCACAAAACUGAAUCCUUACAUGUACAUGUCAUCUGAAAUUUCCAUUUUUAUUCAAGCUACAUUUACAGGCUGCUUUUUAGAUACAGAAAGUUGGGAGACACAUAAUCAAAGCAAGCCCGCAGAUAGUGAUAGAUGAGGCAGAAUAACUACUAUAGUGAAAGUAUCCAAGCAAUCAACCAAUGAUAGAAAUACCAUGCAAAUCUUAUCCAAAAACACAAACAAUAAAAGUUAUUAGCACUCUGCCACAGAAAUCAAAUAGGGGAGGUAUUGAUCUGAGGUUUGCAUUAUCAAUUUGUGUGUUGAUGCCAUGGACGAUCGAAGAUCGGCUACGAAGCCGAGGCACAAUCAAUGGUACCUAUGACAUCCAUGAAUCAAAAUCAUUAGUUUUCCAAAAAUGAAGUAUGGAGGCGGGGAGGAUAGGAGCACACUGCCACAGAUAACCACAUAAUCGUCCUGCAAAUGCUUGUCGUCGGCAUAAGAAUAUACUGCCACCAAAAGUCCCAAAGCCAACCGUUCCAGGACAAACCUCAACAUAUGCAGAGCGGUCAAGUACAAAAUAAUUAGUUCUCUAGCACAUAUAUCUUGAGCAGAACUCUUAAUCUGAAUCAUUUGAGGCAAUUAUCAUUCUAUAUAACCAGCCUAAUUAAUCCCCCAUGCAAAAAAAUUGUACUCUUAGCAACAAAAAAAGCGGAUAAUGGAAUAGGAAAAACACUAAAAUGUCUACUUCCAGAUUCUUUUUUUUGCGGGUUACUUCCAGAUUCAUGGGCGUGCAAGCACUACGGAGUAAAAUUGAACAAACAAAUCUAAAAUACAUGGGAUGAGAAGGAGGAGGUGAAGGAGCAGGAAGAUAGGGAGGAGCUCACAUAGGGAGGUGCCACCAGGGGAGAGGGAGACGACGGUGUGCCCCCACGAUGACCUUUGUCGCUGACCUUCGCUAUCCCUGCAGUGACGGCACGCAGGUGGAUCGGCCGCUUCUCGCCAUGCAACCUCGUCCUCCAUGGCCUUGGCCGUCGCCGCCCUGCCCGCGGCCGCCGCAUCGGCCCUCUCCGCGCCCGCCCCGGCCGCCGCCGGCACGGCGUCGGCGCGGAUCGGGCCCUCGGCCGCCACAGAGGUCGGAUGGAGCAGGGGCAACGACCAUGGGAUCGUAGGAAAGGGACCUAGGGUUUGUGGCGGCUGAGGGAAAGAGAUCG
rnacentral:lncRNA from 1 species